rnacentral:rRNA from 1 species
UACGGAGGGGGCUAGCGUUGUUCGGAAUUACUGGGCGUAAAGCGCACGUAGGCGGUCUGUCGCGUCUGCUGUGAAAAUCCAGGGCUCAACCCUGGACCUGCAGUGGGUACGGGCAGACUAGAGUGCGGUAGGGGAGAUCGGAAUUCCUGGUGUAGCGGUGAAAUGCGCAGAUAUCAGGAGGAACACCGGUGGCGAAGGCGGGUCUCUGGGCCGUAACUGACGCUGAGGAGCGAAAGCAUGGGGAGCGAACAGGA